rfam:Alphaproteobacteria bacterium MedPE-SWcel Alphaproteobacteria-MedPE-SWcel-C37, whole genome shotgun sequence.
GGAUCGGGAGGCUGCCAUUCGGGACGGUGGCCAUGAAUUGAUCCAGACCGCGCUGUCUCUGACGUGCAAGAUGCCGGAGCCCGGCGGCAUCCUUG